AUUGAACGCUGGCGGCAGGCCUAACACAUGCAAGUCGAACGAGUGGCGGACGGGUGAGUAAUGUCUGGGAAACUGCCUGAUGGAGGGGGAUAACUACUGGAAACGGUAGCUAAUACCGCAUACCAUCAGAUGUGCCCAGCUGGGAUUAGCUUGUUGGUGGGUUAACGGCUCACCAAGGCGACUAUCCCUAGCUGGUCUGAGAGGAUGACCGGCCAACCGGGAACGGAGACACGGUCCAGACUCCUACGGGAGGCAGCAGUGGGGAAUAUUGCACAAUGGGCGCAAUCCUGAUGCAGCCAUGCCGCGUGUAGGAAUAAGGCCUUCGGGUUGUAAAGUACUUUCAGCGGGGAGGCGUUACCCGCAGAAGAAGCACCGGCUAACUCCGUGCCAGCAGCCGCGGUAAUUC
rnacentral:rRNA from 1 species